rnacentral:rRNA from 1 species
UACGAAGGGGGCUAGCGUUGCUCGGAAUCACUGGGCGUAAAGCGUAUGUAGGCGGAUUGCUAAGUCAGGGGUGAAAUCCUGGAGCUCAACUCCAGAACUGCCUUUGAUACUGGCGACCUUGAGUCCGGGAGAGGUGAGUGGAACUGCGAGUGUAGAGGUGAAAUUCGUAGAUAUUCGCAAGAACACCAGUGGCGAAGGCGGCUCACUGGCCCGGUACUGACGCUGAGGUGCGAAAGCGUGGGGAGCAAACAGG